rnacentral:rRNA from 1 species
AACGAACGCUGGCGGCAGGCUUAACACAUGCAAGUCGAACGCACCGCAAGGUGAGUGGCAGACGGGUGAGUAACGCGUGGGAACGUGCCCUUUGGUACGGAAUAGCUCGGCGAAAGCUGAGGUAAUACCGUAUGUGCCCUUCGGGGGAAAGAUUUAUCGCCAAAGGAUCGGCCCGCGUCGGAUUAGCUAGUUGGUGAGGUAACGGCUCACCAAGGCGACGAUCCGUAGCUGGUCUGAGAGGAUGAUCAGCCACACUGGGACUGAGACACGGCCCAGACUCCUACGGGAGGCAGCAGUGGGGAAUAUUGGACAAUGGGCGCAAGCCUGAUCCAGCCAUGCCGCGUGAGUGAUGAAGGCCUUAGGGUUGUAAAGCUCUUUCAGCGGGGAAGAUAAUGACAUUACCCGCAGAAGAAGCCCCGGCUAACUUCGUGCCAGCCGCCGCGGUAAAAC